AAUCCUUUCUUGGUCUUCAGCUGCGGACCCCCCACCGUCACCCCAAAACCUCAUCUCUGAGAGCUGUGUGCCCCCAGGGCACGUAGACUGCAUCCUGUGGUGGCUGGAUUCUUCGGGAGCCUCAGCUUUCAGGCAGGUACAAAAAACAAUGUGGCAGUAUGACAACUUCCGACUCGAUGCCCACCUCCCCACGACCCAUCACACCCACUUGACCCAUCCAAAGCCCACACCACCCCAAUAGACUCCCGCCACCUUUGGGAAAGGGUCACCCGAUCUGGAGAACGCUGGGGAAGUUACAUCUUAAGAAAGAAUCACAUUACAUACAGGAACAUUCAAGGACACAGUCACCAAGUUUUUACCCAGCGUAAAGAAUGCACCAAGCCCGGUGAUGCAGUCUCAGGAUGAAAGCUAGCGCUGGGGAAGGAGCUAGCCCCCCAUAUCUGGCGUGAGAACGUGGGG